UGGGGAAUAUUGCACAAUGGGGGAAACCCUGAUGCAGCGACGCCGCGUGAGCGAAGAAGGUUUUCGAAUCGUAAAGCUCUGUCCUAUGAGAAGAUAAUGACGGUAUCAUAGGAGGAAGCCCCGGCUAAAUACGUGCCAGCAGCCGCGGUAAUACGUAUUGGGCGAGCGUUGUCCGGAAUUAUUGGGCGUAAAGGGUACGUAGGCGGUUUUUUAAGUCAGGUGUCAAAGCGUGGAGCUUAACUCCAUUAAGCACUUGAAACUGAAAGACUUGAGUGAAGUAGAGGAAAGUGGAAUUCCUAGUGUAGCGGUGAAAUGCGUAGAUAUUAGGAGGAAUACCGGUGGCGAAGGCGACUUUCUGGACUUUUACUGACGCUCAGGUACGAAAGCGUGGGGAGCAAACAGG
rnacentral:rRNA from 1 species